GACGCUGAGCUAGAUCCUGCGCUCAGAGUUUGAUCCUGGCUCAGAGUGUUGCAUCACUGAGCUUAGAGGUUGAACCUGUGAGUAACACGUGGGUAACCUGCCCAUAAGACUGGGAUAACUCCGGGAAACCGGGGCUAAUACCGGAUAACAUUUUGAACCGCAUGGUUCGAAAUUGAAAGGCGGCUUCGGCUGUCACUUAUGGAUGGACCCGCGUCGCAUUAUCUAGUUGGUGAGGUAACGGCUCACCAAGGCAACGAUGCGUAGCCGACCUGAGAGGGUGAUCGGCCACACUGGGACUGAGACACGGCCCAGACUCCUACGGGAGGCAGCAGUAGGGAAUCUUCCGCAAUGGACGAAAGUCUGACGGAGCAACGCCGCGUGAGUGAUGAAGGCUUUCGGGUCGUAAAACUCUGUUGUUAGGGAAGAACAAGUGCUAGUUGAAUAAGCUGGCACCUUGACGGUACCUAACCAGAAAGCCACGGCUAACUACGUGCCAGCAGCCGCGGUAAUACGUAGGUGGCAAGCGUUAUCCGGAAUUAUUGGGCGUAAAGCGCGCGCAGGUGGUUUCUUAAGUCUGAUGUGAAAGCCCACGGCUCAACCGUGGAGGGUCAUUGGAAACUGGGAGACUUGAGUGCAGAAGAGGAAAGUGGAAUUCCAUGUGUAGCGGUGAAAUGCGUAGAGAUAUGGAGGAACACCAGUGUCGAAGGCGACUUUCUGGUCUGUAACUGACACUGAGGCGCGAAAGCGUGUGAGCAACAGGAUUAGAUACCCUGCUAGUCAACGACGUAAACGAUGAGUGCUAAGUGCUUAGAGGAUUUCGACCUUAGUGCUGAGCUUAACGCAUAAGCACUCCGUCCUGGUGUAAUACGGUCGUCAAGGC
rnacentral:rRNA from 1 species